rnacentral:lncRNA from 1 species
GCUUUCCAACUCAAAUAUGCAGCAACCCCAACCUUCAAUGGGUCCAGCUCAUCCUGCUGCUGUCCGUGCCACCUCAUCAUCUCCUUGGCCUGGCUAUCCGGGUAUGCAGAGUAACACAGCAACACCAACAGCACCAGGAGGUUAUGCUCCACCUCAGCCCACCACAUCCACCCCCUUUCAAGGUGGUUUUGGACCAACCCCACCCCCACCAGGAGGUUAUGCUCCACCUCAGCCCACCACAUCUGCCCCCUUUCAAGGUGGUUUUGGACCAACCCCACCCCCACCAGGAGGAUAUGCUCCACCUCAGCCCACCACAUCUGCUCCCUUUCAAGGUGGUUAUGGAUCAACCCCACCGGUUGCAUCUCCUCUAGGAAUGUAUGUAGGAGGGUCCACACCUCCAACGGGAGGUAUGCAAGGAUUGGUAGAAGACUUCAGCUCACUUUCUAUUGGGUCUGUCCCAGGAUCUUUUGAUGCUGGGCU